rnacentral:rRNA from 1 species
UGGGGAAUUUUGGACAAUGGGCGAAAGCCUGAUCCAGCAAUGCCGCGUGUGUGAAGAAGGCCUUCGGGUUGUAAAGCACUUUUGUCCGGAAAGAAAUCCUUGGCUCUAAUACAGUCGGGGGAUGACGGUACCGGAAGAAUAAGCACCGGCUAACUACGUGCCAGCAGCCGCGGUAAUACGUAGGGUGCAAGCGUUAAUCGGAAUUACUGGGCGUAAAGCGUGCGCAGGCGGUUUGCUAAGACCGAUGUGAAAUCCCCGGGCUCAACCUGGGAACUGCAUUGGUGACUGGCAGGCUAGAGUAUGGCAGAGGGGGGUAGAACUUCCACGUGUAGCAGUGAAAUGCGUAGAGAUGUGGAGGAAUACCGAUGGCGAAGGCAGCCCCCUGGGCCAAUACUGACGCUCAUGCACGAAAAGCGUGGGGAGCAAACAGGAUUAGAUACCCUGGUAGUCCACGCCCUAAAACGAUGUCAACUAGUUGUUGGGGAUUCAUUUCCUUAGUAACGUAGCUAACGCGUGAAGUUGACCGCCUGGGGAGUACGGUCGCAAGAUUAAAACUUCAAAUGGAAUUGACGG